GCCCGCCUAGCUCAAUCGGCUAGAGCGUCAGACUUUUAAGACUGGUCUAACCAUUCAAUCUGAAGGCUGCGAGUUCGACCCUCGCGGUGGGCU